rnacentral:rRNA from 1 species
UACGUAGGGGGCUAGCGUUGUCCGGAUUUAUUGGGCGUAAAGAGCGUGUAGGCGGCCAAACAGGUCCGUUGUGAAAACUGGGAGGCUCAACUUCCAGACGUCGACGGAAACCGUGUGGCUAGAGUCCGGAAGAGGAGAGUGGAAUUCCUAGUGUAGCGGUGAAAUGCGCAGAUAUCAGGAAGAACACCAAUGGCGAAGGCAGCUCUCUGGGACGGUACUGACGCUGAGACGCGAAAGCGUGGGGAGCGAACAGG